GACUUCUGGUUUAAUGCACCUGGCCCGCGGCCCACAAGGCCUGUGAGUGCCGGCGCGCGUUUACCAUCCUUCCAGCAACGGCUACCCUUAACUGGGCGGCUGGAACUGGAUCUUUUACUUUGAAAAAAUUAGAGUGUUUAAAGCAGGCGUUUGCUCAGCAGACUUCGGUUCUAUUUUGUUGGUUUCUAGAACUGAAGUAAUGAUUGAUAGGGAUAGUUGGGGGUGCUAGUAUUGGCCGGUCAGAGGUGAAAUUCUUGGAUCGGUCAAGACUAACUUAUGCGAAAGCAUU
rnacentral:rRNA from 1 species